rnacentral:rRNA from 1 species
CCCUUAGAUGUUCUGGACCGCACGCGCGCUACACUGAUGAAUGCAACGAGCUCUACCCUUGACCGAAAGGCCCGGGUAAACUUGUGAAACUUCAUCGUGAUGGGGAUAGAUUAUUGCAAUUAUUAAUCUUCAACGAGGAAUUCCUAGUAAGCGCGAGUCAUCAGCUUGCAUUGAUUACGUCCCUGCCCUUUGUACACACCGCCCGUCGCUACUGCCGAUUGAAUGGCUUAGUGAGCCCGAGGGACUGUUGCACCUAGAGGGUUUUCUCUCCAGGAGCAGCCGGGAACUCGGCCAAACUUGAUCAUUUAGAGGAAGUAAAAGUCGUAACA